rnacentral:rRNA from 1 species
CCUACGGGAGGCAGCAGUGGGGGAUAUUGCACAAUGGGGGGAACCCUGAUGCAGCGACGCCGCGUGGGUGAAGGAGUGCUUCGGCAUGUAAAGCCCUAUCGGCAGGGAAGAAGCAAGACGGUACCUGACUAAGAAGCCCCGGCUAACUACGUGCCAGCAGCCGCGGUAAUACGUAGGGGGCGAGCGUUAGCCGGAUUCACUGGGUGUAAAGGGAGCGUAGACGGCCAUGCAAGCCAGGGGUGAAAGCCCGGGGCCCAACCCCGGGACUGCCCUUGGAACUGUGCGGCUAGAGUGCGGGAGGGGCAGGCGGAAUUCCUGGUGUAGCGGUGAAAUGCGUAGAUAUCAGGAGGAACACCGGCGGCGAAGGCGGCCUGCUGGACUGCGACUGACGUUGAGGCUCGAAAGCGUGGGGAGCGAACAGGAUUAGAUACCCCUGUAGUC